rnacentral:rRNA from 1 species
GGACUACCCGGGUAUCUAAUCCCGUUCGCUCCCCACGCUUUCGUGCCUCAGUGUCAGAACCAGCCCAGUCACCCGUCUUCACCACCGGCAUUCCUGACGAUAUCUACGCAUUUCACCGCUCCACCGUCAGUUCUAGUGACCCCUACUGGCCUCAAGUCCGCCAGUAUCAGAAGCAGUUCCCGGGUUGAGCCCGGGGAUUUCACAACUGACUUAACGGACCACCUACGCACCCUUUAAACCCAGUGAUUCUCAGUAACGCUUGGGACCUCUGUAUUACCGCGGCUGCUGGCAC